AUGUCAGGAAAUAUUUACAGACUGAGUCAACAUUCAACCAGUAAACAGUAAUAAUUGAACAAUGAAUAAUUAUGGCUGCAAUAAGCACUGGACUGUGGUAACUUGUCUAAAGAUGUGAAACAUGCUUCCCCCUAUUUAUUAUGUCUUUAAAGGGACCCUUAAAGAAACAUAACAACUAAUGGUGGAAUUGGUUAUGGUAUAUGGUGGUCUCUUAU